rnacentral:rRNA from 1 species
AUUGAACGCUGGCGGCAGGCCUAACACAUGCAAGUCGAGCGAGCGGCGGACGGGUGAGUAAUGUCUGGGAAACUGCCUGAUGGAGGGGGAUAACUACUGGAAACGGUAGCUAAUACCGCAUACCAUCAGAUGUGCCCAGAUGGGAUUAGCUAGUGGGUGGGGUAACGGCUCACCAAGGCGACGAUCUGUAGCGGGUCUGAGAGGAUGAUCCGGCACACUGGGAAUUGGGCACGGGCCAGACUCCGACGGGAGGCAGCAAGGGGGAAAAUUGGACAAAUGGGGGAACCCUGGACCAGCCAUGCCGCGGGUGUGAAGAAGGCCUUAUGGUUGUAAAGCACUUUAAGCGAGGAGGCGUUACUCACAGAAUAAGCACCGGCUAACUCUGUGCCAGCAGCCGCGGUAAUAC